rnacentral:lncRNA from 1 species
CAGAGGAAGGAUUUGGCUGGGCCAUUGUUUGGACCAGGGUGGAUUUCCAGCAGAGACGUGGUCAGAGGACAGCUGCUCCCUGUGGCCCACCCCCGGCUCCCAGGAGCAGGGUGGUGGUGGCAAUGAGUGACAAGAGCUGACUGCUUCCUCUGAGCACCUCACCUCCACUUCCCCAGAUCAGCUAAGGUCCUCUCUUGGCAGGUGAGAAGAAGGACUUCAGGGACAUUUCCUGCAGACGGCAUGCUAGAUGCUGGGCUCGGCGCCGGUUUUAAAAACAUGCAAACAAACAAAAAGCCCCCAAGGGAGACUGUCCUGUAAAUAAAUAACCAAGGCUCACCGUAUAGAGUGCAGUAAUAGAGGAUGCUGUCAAUUGCAAGAAGCCCCAUGGAUUUAAGGACAUUCAAAAAAAGGGUUUUUUUUGAGGAGGAAGAAACAUGGCCACAUUAAACAAAUCCAUCAACGCAUUCACUUUUUUAGAAAUAUUAAUAUAUGAAAAAAUGCACAUCUUAGAAUUAGGAAAAUUCUUCUUGGUUCUUGUCAGCCUCCAGAAAAACUUGGCUGUCCCGGAAGAUGUGCGAUGUUUGCCCCUGGCUCCGUGUCCCCAUCAUACAGAAGUGGGGAGCACAGGAUGAGGUCACGCUUUUUGUGAGUUGGACCCCCGGUUUUCCCAGGGAGAAUUUUUUCUGUUCACGCAGAAUGCUCAGGGGCUGGAGUUCCAGGUAGUCAAGUCAUUCUGGUUAAAUAAGGGUCACUCUCAAUACAUUUAAAAUUUUAGAGUUUUGAGGUUAGAAAUUGUCUAAAAGAUAAUCUCAUCCAUAAGCAUCUAAUGAAUACCUAAUAUGGACCUGUCUCUCUACAUUUAUAUUGUCGUCUCCAGAACAUUCUCACGCUAACAGUUGAUGAUUUCACAGAGUUCCUCGGGGGCUUUGUCACUGACACCAGUUUUCUAGAACUAGAAGUUGAAGUGGCAGAUGGGGCUGAAUGAGAAUCGAUACCAUUGGUGUGUUAUCUCAUUUGUUUCUUACAACACUGAGGAUAUUCUUUCCAUAGAUAUUCUCAUUAGACCAAGGAAGAAAUUGAGGCUCUGACUGGUUAAGCUCCUUGCCUGGCACCACCAUGUGCCUAGCGAGUGGCAGAGCAGGCCCUCCACCAGGCUCCCCUGCGCUCGGUCCCCAGGCUGCCCUCUUCUUUGUGUGGCUUCUGUGGUGUGGGAAACACCUGAGCAGCUUUGGUUUUGUUUGUUUGUUCCAACAAAACCAGAUUCCUUUUUUUUUUUUGCAUCUUUUCCCUACACUGAAGGCCAACCCCCAAAUAACUCCAAGACGUUGAGGAGAGAGAGCCCUCUGGGCUGUGUGUGGCUCUAUGACAAGGGCCUGUUUAAGUGCAUUCGGUAAGUAGCUAUUUGUUUCAGCCCCAUCUGUGUGCUCGGCAUGGGGCAAACAAGUCACAAAAGUGGGCUCCAUGUUGCCCUCCACAGUGUCCUCUUGCCUGUCUGUAAACUCCUCAAGGGCAGGCCCUGGUAACCACACAUCUACACAGGACCAAGUCACACCUGAACUCUGCCAGGCUGCCUCAGCCUGCCCCCGAGGCGCCCCCUGUCGGUGGGAAGAUGGGCAGGUGGGCUGUGAACCCAUCUGCUAACACAGCAGUGUGAGCUCAGUGUGGCUGAAGAGCUGCCAGAGCUCAGAGGAGGGCUCCAUGAAUCUAGCGGACCAGAGGCGGAGGGUGGGGUCAGUGUGGGGGGAUAGAUCGCUGAGGAGGUGACAUCUGAAGGAUGAAAGAAAUUCCCCAGAGGGAUGGAGGGCAUUCCUAGCAGGGGAACAGCAUGAGCAAAGCUCAAGUCUUGGGAGUACACAGCACAUAGAGGAUGGUAUGGGUAUGAAAGUGUAUGUGUGUGUGUGUGUGAGAGAGAGAGGCUCCUAUUUGUGUUCAUCUAUCUUUCCUUGGUCUCUGGCUUCCCCCGUGAGACCCUUCCCCAGGGCUCUUGGUCUAGCCCUGAACUCUAUGGGCCACUCGUGCUCCCCUCUGGGCUCAGAGCUUCUGCACUUCAGCCCCACAGUGCUUCCCUGUUCCCUCAGCAGCUCCCCGCCUUGACUUUGUUCUUCCUAAGCCUGCCCUCAGCUUGGCCUCCAGAAGGACACUUGAUCCCAUCCCAUGACUGGCGGUGGGGUGCGGCCCUCAGAGCAGCUGCAAGGAUGUUGACUCCAGAUGGAAAGUGUUUCGAGAAUUCUGACGUGACAUCACACCAUCACGACAUUGCGCUGACAGUAACUGAUCUGGGAGUGGCCAGGCAAAGGAAAGCACAAAUGUGACGUUAAACACACAGAGGAGACCCCACAUCAGUGACUCACACAGAUGCUGCCAAGGAUCCAGCUGCUUCACACUGUGCAGACAAGAUGGGGGUCUGCAAGCCCGCGUGCGCCGGCAGGGCCCGAGAAGACUGCUGGAGAUUCUGUUUGCGCAUGAAGACACUGUAGGCUCCUCUGGCAGAUGCAGAAACUGUGGCUUAGAGAGGUCUGGAGCACCAGAUAUAUAAGGUGAGACCAGAACAGCUUGUACCAGAAGACAAGAAAGUUAUCGAACACCACUGGGGUCAUGUCAAAAGGACUCAGGUGCCGACCUGAAGGAGCUCCCACUGGACAAAAUGGCAUCGUUUGUGCUUCAAAAACAAAACUAAACAAACAAACAAAGACCCUGCAAUGAAUUGAAAUACAUCAAAUAUUUUAAAACUCCAUGAGUUCAAGAUGAUAAUUAAAAAAAGACACUUGGAGGAUGCUUAGAAAAAACCAACUCACUCUUCCAAAAAUUGAUAAAGGGAAAGCGAACUCUGGGGCUUCCCAAUGAUAUUGUGAAGUUGCACAUUCGUUGGAAGGCCUCCCAUGUACUCCCAAGACUCUCCCUCUGGCUUUCUCCAGGCCUAAAUUUCCACCAUUAGAGACUCCUUUCUUUGGGUUAAGAAAUGUCCUGAGUCAAAGCCAAAGUACGCUUGGGAAAAGUUUGUUAACUACUUUGCUCACAGAUUGGGAUGGAGAAAAAGUGGAAAAUCCUAUGGUCCCUGGAGUCCGACAGAUAGGGAUCCAGCCAGAGAGAAGGAGCUGAGGGUCAAAGAACUUGGCAGCAUCAUCCAGGGCAGGAGGACUACCUGGGCUGCCUAUCCAAAGUUCAGCUCCUCAGUAGACACCUCAGGUGGUGUCUGAUCCAGCAGGUGGAAAGAAUGGCAGAAAUAUACAUUUUAUUACACAUCUCAGGUGACUCGGACACAGGUGGUGCUGCCACUGUUUUCCAGGGGACGCUGGACCAGAGCUCCUGGAUCUUUCCUGUUGGCCUGUGUGACUUUCUGCUCCAGCGGCACUGGGCUGUCACAGCUGAGCAAUUCCAGCCUCUGCAAACUUCACCAGGCCCCUCAGCCCGGGAUCUCUUUACUAUUGCCAGGUCCCUUUAAGAUUCCAAGCCCUUCCCUGUGUGGGGAAGCCAGCACCGUGUAGAAGGGACCCAGCCACGUGAGUCCCAGUGUAGGCUCUGAGCUACCUGCCCUCACCCUCUC